CAAAUUGGGACUCUCGCUCCAGUCUCGGGAUGGCGGCAUGCCCCAGGAAGCUCGAGAAGCCAUUCAUGGUGUAAUAACAAGAGGCAUCUUUUAUUAACGAGAUCUCGGGCCGACACCGAGGUCUCGGGCCGACAUGCCACGCAUCUCACGCAGGAGACAGAGGGCCGAUGAACCACGAACCUCUAAAGAAUCUCUGCCUACCAUGAGGAGGUGUUGUUGGAGGACUAAAAAUGAAAAUCAUGGCUGGGAAAAAGGCUGUGUUUUAAUGAAUAAAGAUAUUUACAUAUCCAGAUAAUUUUUGUUCACUUUAGUUUACAAUAUGUCUUCAGUUUGUUUAUACAGUGGAUUACGUCGAUGGUUUUCCGUG
rnacentral:sRNA from 1 species